rnacentral:rRNA from 1 species
CACGCCCUAAACGAUGAGUACUAAACGUUGGAUAAAACCAGUGUUGAAGUUAACACAUUAAGUACUCCGCCUGAGUAGUACGUACGCAAGUAUGAAACUUAAAGGAAUUGACGGGACUCCGCACAAGCGGUGGAUCAUGUUGUUUAAUUCGAAGGUACCCGAAAAACCUCACCAGGUCUUGACAUGCUUUUGCAAAGCUGUAGAAAUACAGUGGAGGUUAUCAGAAGCACAGGUGGUGCAUGGUUGUCGUCAGCUCGUGUCGUGAGAUGUUGGGUUAAGUCCCGCAACGAGCGCAACCCUUGUUGUUAAUUGCCAUCAUUAAGUUGGGGACUUUAGCAAGACUGCCAAUGAUAAAUUGGAGGAAGGUGGGGACGACGUCAAAUCAUCAUGCCCCUUAUGACCUGGGCUACAAACGUGAUACAAUGGCUGUUACAAAGGGUAGCUAAAGCGUAAGCUUCUGGCGAAUCUCAAAAAAGCAGUCUCAGUUCGGAUUGAAGUCUGCAACUCGACUUCAUGAAGUUGGAAUCGCUAGUAAUCGCGAAUCAGCAUGUCGCGGUGAAUACGUUCUCGGGGUUUGUACACACCGCCCGUCAAACCACGAAAGUUGGCAAUACCCAAAGCCGGUGGCCUAACUUGAGCAAUCAAGAAGGAGCCGUCUAAGGUAGGGUUGAUGAUUGGGGUUAAGUCGUAACAAGGUAUCCCUACCGGAAGGUGGGGAUGGAUCACCUCCUU